ACCGCUUCUUGGCCUUUUGGCUAAGAUCAAGUGUAGUAUCUGUUCUUGCUGUGGGUGGAUUGUCUCCCGACCAUCGGAGACAAUGCAGCCCCC
ensembl:snRNA U2 U2 spliceosomal RNA